ACAAGUGACACAAUAAAAUGUACUUAAUACAUGAACUUGUGAACAUUGUCUACAUGAGAAGUUAAUAGAUAGUAGUCAAUUACAUCAUAUAAUUUGGUUCUAUACUCUUUUGUGUAUAUAUCCUGAAUGAUACCCCUUUGUGAUCAACUCUUUGUCCUCCAAAUCGAAUGGCACAGCUACUGCCCCUUGUGGAAAAAGAAAGGGUUCUGUAAUACCCAUAAAUGUAAAAGGAAAACAUCAUGUGAUGCAUCUCAACCUGCGCAAAACAAUGUAAAAAACAUACAUGCUAUCUACAUACCCUCAUUGUCUAGCAAAACAUAAGUAGCUGAGGGACCCUAUACAAAAGAAUUGACAAUUAGUAAGAAAGAAGCAUGCCACUUUACAUGGAACAAAAAAAUUGAUUAUUAUGGUGAGCGCAGAAUAACAUGAAGUUGUCAUGUGCAGCCAACAACUGCAGCUAUCUGUAUAGGCUACUGCUACUUUACAAUCUAUAUUGACAGGAAUAUUUGUGAAGUCAUUCAAAUCUAUCUUAAGUGAAAACAUGCUUAUAAGGCAUACUUAAUUCUCUCUGUUGUUCAUUUUCCUUUUGAUGUCACUUUAUUCAUAUGGUAAAUAUGAGUUUAAUCAUCAGUAGACAGAAACUUUGUGUGAAUCAAAAUACCAAGUUUAGUAUGGAAACUAUAGUUUCUCCAUAUGUCAUUAUUUCAAGACAAAGCAUGUUAUUCACACCCACUUAGAAUCAUAAUUUCCAGUAAACUUUCCAUACAGCAAUAUCAAUAAAAAGGCUUCUGUUCUUUACCUUUAAUAGAAGAGGCAACUGGCUGAGGCUGCCCUAGCAUGAGGUCAAACUGUCGAUUGCAGAGCUGAAGCGCUAUUGAAAGUAAUUACAUCACCUGCUCGAUGUACAAAAUAACCAUUAUAUCAUAUAUCAUAUUUUACGGUUAAAACUGCAAAAGGAGUAGAGAACGGCAAAAGGGCACUACACAAUUUAGUCAACAAACUAAGUUUAGAGGCGCAAAUGUAUGAUGGAGCUAGCGCACGAAUUCCUUUCGCUGGUCUCGGUGUGAAUUACGUAGCCUGACAACUAAAUUUCAAAUCAUGGCAUGAUGGCAAGCAAGGAAAAGGUGCCAAUUCACCACCACUACCAAAUUCCUCCACAUCCAGCUAACUUUUAUGGCUUCAUGCCAACAUUGGCCAACUCCUUUAACAUGUAGUAGAAACAAAUGAUUUAAUUUAUAUCAUACAGUAAAAUCUUCCCUCAAGUCUGAAAGUACCACAGACCCUGAUGUAAGGAGCAGAAUAAAUUUAAACCAUCAGGCGCAUUGUAUCUAAAAUCAGGGCCAACCUCUCAAAUAUAUAUAUGGUGUUCUUGUCCUCGAGAAAUAGAAAAGCGAGUUAUAUACAAGGAAAAUGUACCAAAAGCAAGGUGAGUUAGUUGUUUCAAACAUGCAGUCCUUGCUAAACAUUUAGCCGAAAGAAGUAGAAUAACUAACCCAUCACUAAUGCUUAAGUACAGUAUCUGAUUUUUUUUCUGGCCAUGCAAACAUGUAAAUAUUUAGCAGAUAUGUAGACUAAAGUGUCAACUAAAAAACCCUGUCCGCAAUUGGAAGAAACAUAAUCAGUCUAGAAUAAGCAUUGGUAGCUAGAUAAAUUACUUAUUUCAAGUUGACUGCUAUUUCUUUUAGGAAGCAAAUCAUGGUAGGAAGUCAACUAUUAAAUGGCAAGAAGAUGAUUGUCCAGCAGUUUUUCCUCUGGUUGAUUUCGGGUAAAACAGAGAGGCCAUACCAGCUACACUUCCUCAUUUGUAAAUUACCGACGCUUGUUCUUGUUUUGAUUCAUUUAGGCUGGCUAUCUUCUUGCUGCUUGAACCACAAGUUAUUUUCUCUUUCUUGAGACCUCUACAUAGAUAGAGGAAAAUCAAGAAGAUGAAAAUUCCAUUAGAGAUCAAAAUAUCGACCUUCACUAUCACAACCAGUCAUAGAAAGUUAAAACUGAAGAGCAGAAAAAUUCGUUGAAUGAACCAGAGAUGCGGUGUCAACUUUCUUAAAUUCCAGUUAAGAUUUUUUUACAUUCUAAAAGAGUGAUCAUGCAUGCCAUUUUACCUUUUUGUUAUCCCAAUUCCAUGGAUAAAUGAAUUAAUUGUAGUUGCUGACACUCCCCGUUACCGUAGCCUUGCCAAUGCUUGAGAAAUCUGUCAAAGGGAAACUUGCAACAUCAUUAACCUAACAAUGAUUCUGAAAGAUACUACAGCGCUAAGUCUGUUUACGAUACCUACACAAAAGAUGCUUUAAUAAUCGUAGAUUUGAUAUUACCAUCAUACUAUACUUGGUCAGCUAAAUAAUCCUCCCACCAGCCAUAAGAGGAACUUAACAAAGUAAGCUAACAAAAAAAUUUAAGAAACAAGAACAAGCUGAACAUCGCAAGGCAAAACACUCCGGCAUGAUUAGAUAUGGCACUGUCGUCAACAAUGAUAACUUUACAACACGUCAACAUGUCAUCGAAGAGGAACUCACCUAGCACAACCAGCAUGUUGAGAUUGUUUUCUUUGUCUCUUCUUCAGACAAAUCCAAAUUGCCCACAUGCUCAUGUUCAAAGCAUCUGUUCUCAACAUCAAGAGGAAACAGUAAAAGAAGAUUUUGUGUACAUGUUCUUAUCAGCAGUAAAUUGGGGCAAAUAAGACAAAAAUUAAACACAUGUUCUUAGCAGGAGUAAAUGCAAAUAAUACAGAAAUCCUAUGUGCUACUGUAAUAAUGCUGAAAUUUAGCACAGUAGAAACACAUAUAACAUCAAACACCUAGAGAUAGAUCAAGUGGAAACAACCAGCAUGCAGACGGGAAACACAUAUAACAACAACCACUUAGAGAUAGUCAAUAUAGCAAACAUAUAUAGAACCAAUAAAGUUGGAGGCGUACCUGCCAGCCUGCAAGAUCUCUCUCGCACACCAAAAUAACACGGCCUCCUGCAGAACAAAGGGAUCUAAGAAUGGCCCAUAAAACCAAGCGAUAUAGCAGUGGAAGGGAGCAAACCUUAAUCACAGCAGGCCGCUAGCAACUGAUGGAUUGAAUAGCACCUACAGGAAGAACACGGUAAUGCACAUAUCAAAAAGCGGCCAGAACAUGGACUGUAUGGACUGCAUAUCCUACUGAAAAGAAGAACCAGUUGGAGGUUCGUGGCAUGGAAGGAGUGGACAGAGACCUCCAUGUCAGAUCUAGCAGCACAUAUCCUCUUGUCUUCUCCUCUGCGCAUCGUCAUGGAAGGAAGCCUCCUCCUCGCUAACCCUAUCUGCAUAAGAACACAAAAAUAUAAGUAGUCAUGAAUUAGAGGGAUGAGCACAGGUCACCAUGGAAUAUGAGGAAACGAUGAAGAAAGAGCUUACGUGUCGGGCGUCUCCUCGACGAACUGGGAGCCAUCCUCGAUCUCUACUCCUCUACAGAUAGCCGCCAAGAGUGGGGGGUCGAGCAGGAUGGGUUCCCCUGAUGCCCUCACUGCAGCAGCCACUCCAGCUCUCUUGGACGCGACCUACGGCCGAUCCGGAAUCACAGCGCGCGGCACCUGAUGGCGGCAACCCGGCGAAAUUGUCAAU
rnacentral:lncRNA from 1 species